rnacentral:rRNA from 1 species
UACGAAGGGGGCUAGCGUUGCUCGGAAUCAUUGGGCGUAAAGCGCGCGUAGGCGGCCACGCAAGUCGGGUGUGAAAUCCCGGAGCUCAACUCCGGAACUGCACUCGAAACUGCGCGGCUUGAGGUAGGUAGGGGAGAUCGGAAUUCCUGGUGUAGCGGUGGAAUGCGCAGAUAUCAGGAGGAACACCGAUGGCGAAGGCAGGUCUCUGGGCCACUACUGACGCUGAGAAGCGAAAGCGUGGGGAGCGAACAGG